CCUUCUUUACACACUGGUUAAACUGUAAUGGCUUGCUCCCUCUCCUCUCUGCCAGUCCAUCGACUCAGUUCCCAUUUUUGUCCUCAGAAAGAAACACUGGAGACGUGUUUAUGGAGUAGCAGCAGACCAACUCAACUCUCCCUGAGCAACGAGGAAAAGAAACAAAAAUGACCUGAAAAUUCAACAAAAUAUGACCAGGAUAUCUUCAGAAACUCACCAAGCCUCAGCUCCCAAAUUCCAGAUGCUACCAUGAUGCCAACCUGACUUCUCUGAGCAGAUGACUUCACCAAUGUGUCCUGGAAUCCCACCUCUCUAGAGCCCUAUCCCACUAGGGGAAGAGAGAGAGAGGCUGGGAGCAUGGAUUGAUCUGCCAACACCUAUGUUCAGCAGAGAAGCAAUUACAGAAGCCAGACCUCCACUUUCUGCACCCCAUAAUGAUCCUGGGUCCAUACUCCCAGAGGGAUAAAGAAGAAGAAAGCUUUCAAGAGAGGGGAUAGGAUAUGGAGUUCUGGUGGUAGGAAUUGUGUGGAAUUGAAUUGUGCCCCUCUUAUCCUAUGGUCUUGUCAAUAUUUCCAUUUUAUAAAUAAAUUUAAAAAACAU